AUUGUAUUUAUUUUUGUAAGAUCAUUCCUUCUUGGAAAAUACUAUUGUAUUUUUCAACAAGUGAUGAAGGAAUGAAGCAACGAAUUAAGGAAUUCUGUUUAGAAAGAUGAGAAGAUAGAUAUAUGAUGAGUGUGAUAUGAGAUUUAUGUUAGAAAAAUAAAUUGAUAUGUUAGUCAUUGGACAAUUAUACCUUCUCAUCUAGCAGGAAGAGUGAGUUUUCAAGGAAUACAUCACGGUCGUUGGCAGAACGUAUUUCCGGUAUGAACUUCCCACAUUCUAACAAUACGGCCAAUUCUGUUACCACAACAUUCGAAUUUUUCUAAUACAUGUUGAGAAAAAUAUUAUGAAAA
rnacentral:sRNA from 1 species